CCUACGGGAGGCAGCAGUAGGGAAUCUUCCGCAAUGGACGAAAGUCUGACGGAGCAACGCCGCGUGAGUGAUGAAGGUUUUCGGAUCGUAAAACUCUGUUGUUAGGGAAGAACAAGUGCGAGAGUAACUGCUCGCACCUUGACGGUACCUAACCAGAAAGCCACGGCUAACUACGUGCCAGCAGCCGCGGUAAUACGUAGGUGGCAAGCGUUGUCCGGAAUUAUUGGGCGUAAAGCGCGCGCAGGCGGUUUCUUAAGUCUGAUGUGAAAGCCCCCGGCUCACCGGGGGAGGGUCAUUGGAAACUGGGAAACUUGAGUGCAGAAGAGGAGAGUGGAAUUCCACGUGUAGCGGUGAAAUGCGUAGAGAUGUGGAGGAACACCAGUGGCGAAGGCGACUCUCUGGUCUGUAACUGACGCUGAGGCGCGAAAGCGUGGGGAGCGAACAGGAUUAGAUACCUGGUAGUCCACGCCGUAAACGAUGAGUGCUAAGUGUUAGAGGGUUUCCGCCCUUUAGUGCUGCAGCUAACGCAUUAAGCACUCCGCCUGGGGAGUACGGUCGCAAGACUGAAACUCAAAGGAAUUGACGGGGGCCCGCACAAGCGGUGGAGCAUGUGGUUUAAUUCGAAGCAACGCGAAGAACCUUAC
rnacentral:rRNA from 1 species